rfam:Schistosoma rodhaini strain Burundi genome assembly, scaffold: SROB_scaffold0004895
AUCCAGCUGACGAGUCCCGAAUAAAACGAAACACGCGUCCUGGAU